AUGAACGCUGGCGGCGUGCCUAAUACAUGCAAGUCGAGCGAACAGACGAGGAGCUUGCUCCUCUGACGUUAGCGGCGGACGGGUGAGUAACACGUGGAUAACCUACCUAUAAGACUGGGAUAACUUCGGGAAACCGGAGCUAAUACCGGAUAAUAUAUUUAACCGCAUGUUUCAAUAGUGAAAUACGGUUUUGCUGUCACUUAUAGAUGGAUCCGCGCCGCAUUAGCUAGUUGGUAAGGUAACGGCUUACCAAGGCAACGAUGCGUAGCCGACCUGAGAGGGUGAUCGGCCACACUGGAACUGAGACACGGUCCAGACUCCUACGGGAGGCAGCAGUAGGGAAUCUUCCGCAAUGGGCGAAAGCCUGACGGAGCAACGCCGCGUGAGUGAUGAAGGUCUUCGGAUCGUAAAACUCUGUUAUUAGGGAAGAACAAAUGUGUAAGUAACUAUGCACGUCUUGACGGUACCUAAUCAGAAAGCCACGGCUAACUACGUG
rnacentral:rRNA from 1 species